rnacentral:misc_RNA from 1 species
GGGGAAUUUUCCGCAAUGGGGGAAACCCUGAUCUAGCCAUGCCGCGUGAUCGAUGAAGGCCUUAGGGUUGUAAAGAUCUUUCAGUGGGGAAGAUAAUGACGGUACCCACAGAAGAAGCCCCGGCUAACUCCGUGCCAGCAGCCGCGGUAAUACGGAGGGGGCWAGCGUUGUUCGGAAUUAYUGGGCGUAAAGCGCACGCAGGCGGACCGGAAAGUCAGAGGUGAAAUCCCAGGGCUCAACUUUGGACAGGCCUUUGAAACUCCUGGUCUAGAGGUAGAGAGGGGUGAGUGGAAUUCCCAGUGUAGAGGUGAAAUUCGUAGAUAUUSGGAGGAACACCAGCGGCGAAAGCGUCUUACUGGGCCUAAACUGACACUGAGGGACGAAGCUAGGGGAGCGAAAGGGAUUAGAUACCCCUGUAGUCCUAGCCGUAAACGAUGACAACUAGGUGUUGCCCGUAUCGACCCGGGCAGUGCCGUAGCUAACGCGUUAAGUUGUCCGCCUGGGGAGUACGCACGCAAGUGUGAAACUCAAAGGAAUUGACGGGGGCCCGCACAAGCGGUGGAGUAUGUGGUUUAAUUCGAUGCAACGCGAAGAACCUUACCAGGGCUUGACAUGUGCAGAAUCCCCUUGAAAGGGGGGAGUGCCUUCGGGAGCUGCAACACAGGUGGUGCAUGGCUGUCGUCAGCUCGUGUCGUGAGAUGUUGGGUUAAGUCCCGCAACGAGCGCAACCCACGUUUCUAGUUGCCAUCAUUAAGUUGGGCACUUUAGAGAGACUGCCGGUGACAAACCGGAGGAAGGUGUGGAUGACGUCAAGUCAGCAUGCCCCUUACGCCCUGGGCUACACACGUACUACAAUGCUACGGACAAAGGGACGCUAACCAGCGAUGGCAUGCAAAUCUCGAAAACCGUAGCCCAGUUCAGAUUGCAGGCUGCAACUCGCCUGCAUGAAGGCGGAAUCGCUAGUAAUCGCAGGUCAGCAUACUGCGGUGAAUACGUUCCCGGGCCUUGUACACACCGCCCGUCACACCAUGGGAGUUGGCCACGCCCGAAGUCGUUACUCCAACCUUUCGAGGGGGAGGGCGGCCUACGGCGGGAUUGAUGAGUKGGGUGAAGUCGCAACAAGGUAGCCGUACCGGAAGGUGUGGCCGGAUCACCUCCUUAUAGGGAGACCUAGCCCCUGUAAUUUGAAAGGUAUCGAUUGAGAGCAGACGCGAGUSCACACUCAUCGGAUAUUAAGUAAGAGAAGAGAGAGGUCACUCAAAGGUCGAGCCGGUAUUUAGUGGACUUCUAAAUUAUUGAUUGGUUCGGAUCUCUAUCCGAAUUGUGGGCUAUUAGCUCAGGUGGUUAGAGCGCACCCCUGAUAAGGGUGAGGUCCCUGGUUCGAGUCCAGGAUGGCCCACCAUUUGAUUAGGGGGUUUAGCUCAGUUGGUAGAGCGCCUGCUUUGCAAGCAGGAUGUCAGCGGUUCGAGUCCGCUAACCUCCACUGAGUGUAGAGCUCACCGAAGAGAAAUCAAUUUAGCAACUAUUGUAGGCAUUACCUGUAUCUGCACGGUUAAGCCCUAGAUAGCCUGCUGGAUUUAUCCAGUCAGAACCUUGAAAACUGCAUAAUAACUUGUCAGGUAGU